ACUGUGGGAGGAAGUGUCACAUAUGGAUGCCUCAAUACUGUCUAUGGAAGCAGGAAGUUCUUCUGUAAGGAUGAAUGUAAAAAAGAAGAAGACAUCCUGGUUGAAACAGAAGAGAACAGAGCUCACAACGGCAGAUACAGCAUUGAAUAUAGAGAAGGAUCUGAAUCUGGACUGUAUGUGACCAUCACACAGCUGAAGAAGUCAGACACAGGAUGGUACAGGUGUGGUCACGGCAGAGCUUCGUCUCCAGAUUCAUCUGACACGUUCCCGAUCUUUGUUGUAGAUGCUCCAACCACUUCAGAACCAAACUGGACUCUCCGACCUUUUCCAACAUCAGUCCCAUCAGCCUCCACACCAACAACAACACAGAGUUUAAUCUCCAGUUCAGGAAGCUUCACACCUUCAUCAUCUUUCCCUGAAACCACAGAGCAGUUUACAGCUCCAACCACUUCAAAACCAAACCGGACUCUCCGACCUUUUCCAACAUCAGUCCCAUCAGCCUCCACACCAACAACAACACAGAGUUUAAUCUCCAGUUCAGGAAGCUUCACACCUUCAUCAUCUUUCCCUGAAACCACA